rnacentral:rRNA from 1 species
UACGAAGGGGGCUAGCGUUGCUCGGAAUCACUGGGCGUAAAGGGCGCGUAGGCGGCCAUUCAAGUCGGAUGUGAAAGCCCCGGGCUCAACCCGGGAAGUGCACUCGAUACUGCUAGGCUGGAGUGUGGGAGAGGUUGGUGGAAUUCUCGGUGUAGAGGUGAAAUUCGUAGAUAUUCGCAAGAACACCAGUGGCGAAGGCGGCCAACUGGACCAAUACUGACGCUGAGGCGACGAAAGGCGUGGGGAGCAAACAGG